GAUGAACGCUGGCGGCGUGCCUAAUACAUGCAAGUCGAGCGAACAGACGAGGAGCUUGCUCCUCUGACGUUAGCGGCGGACGGGUGAGUAACACGUGGAUAACCUACCUAUAAGACUGGGAUAACUUCGGGAAACCGGAGCUAAUACCGGAUAAUAUAUUGAACCGCAUGGUUCAAUAGUGAAAGACGGUUUUGCUGUCACUUAUAGAUGGAUCCGCGCCGCAUUAGCUAGUUGGUAAGGUAACGGCUUACCAAGGCAACGAUGCGUAGCCGACCUGAGAGGGUGGUCGGCCACACUGGAGCUGGGACACGGUCCAGACUCCUACGGGAGGGAGCAGUAGGGAAUCUUCCACAAUGGGCGAAAGCCUGACGGAGCAACGCCGCGUGAGUGAUGAAGGUCUUCGGAUCGUAAAACUCUGUUAUUAGGGAAGAACAAAUGUGUAAGUAACCAUGCACGUCUUGACGGUACCUAAUCAGAAAGCCACGGCUAACUACGUG
rnacentral:rRNA from 1 species